GGAUGUGAGGGCGAUCUGGCUGCGACAUCUGUCACCCCAUUGAUCGCCAGGGUUGAUUCGGCUGAUCUGGCUGGCUAGGCGGGUGUCCCCUUCCUCCCUCACCGCUCCAUGUGCGUCCCUCCUGAAGCUGCUCAGUCGAAGAGGACUACCAUCCCCAAUAGAGGAGGACCGUUCUUCGGUCAAGGGUAUACAAGUAGCUGCGCUCCCCUGCUAGAACCUCCAAACAAGCUCUCAAAGAACUAACUUUUUCUUUCAUUGAUUGUAUAGGUUUUUUUUUUUG
rnacentral:sRNA from 1 species